AAAAAAAAAACGGGUAAUAUAUUAAUUAACAAGAAAGAAAGGGUUAAGAUAACUGAAAAUUUACAAAACUCGCAAUUUGUGAGGCUCAAGUAUAUUUACAGUUCAUUGCAUCAAUAACGGAGUAUUUGCUGGUCGCCAGAAAGCUUUACUUAUAAUAAAUAUAUAUGUAUAUAUGUAUAUUUAUACAUUUAUGCAUAUGCGGGUAUACUAAACUAAAUAAUUUAAUUUAAGAGAAAGCACGGGUCAGUGGAUAUCACCAGAAAACCUGACUUAUAACCAGAGCGGUAUUUAUAUGCACGAAAAUUGUUAAAUCAAGUGGUUAUAAUAUGACCAAAAAACGCAAAAAUAUGUAUUCGAAUAUGCAAAAAACAAAAUCAAAAUAUUCGAAUAAGUAUUUUAAAUACGUUUUUCUUCUUUUCUUUUUAAAUCUAUAACUAUAUUAUACAAUGUAAACACAAAUGUAUUGUUCUUCUUGAAGGUUAUUACGAUUAGAAUAAAAUAUUAAAUGUUUAAAAUAGUCAAAUACAAAA